ACACAUACACGCUGCAACAUACAACCAUAAGAAAUAACCACAGAGCAAUGUGUGUAUGUGUGUGUGUAUAUAUAUAUAUAUAUAUAUAUAUAUAUAUAUGGUGUCUCCUGUUGAAGACGAUAUGUAUGAGUAUUCAGUGUUUGCUGAAUGACCUUCACAAACGAUUUGUUGAUAGUGACCAAAUAUAUUUAUUGUGCAUCAGCUCACUACCUCCAUCAAGUCAACAUUGCUUGUACAGGUGCACAAGUGCACCUCACAUCAGAUGUUGAAGUGAUCACACGUCAGAUGUUGAAGUGAUCACACGUCAGAUGUUGAAGUGCUCAAGAACACAGCAUGCUGCCUGGCCAAAGAAUCGAACUAGUGAUUGUGAGUGCUGCACCCUAACAACUUGGCCAUGUGCCUUCACACACACACACACUUUUGGGUAUAUAGCAUGCUUGUCAAGCCAGGUGAGAUUGUAGUCAUGGCCGAUGCCAGUGUUACGUAACUGGCACCUGUGCCAGUGACAUAUAAGAAGUAUCCACUGUGUACUUGGAGUAGUUUGCAUUAAGAAGGGCAUCCAGCUGUAGAAACCAGGCCAAAUCAGAUUGGCACCUGGUGCAGCUCUCCAGCUUACCAGUUUUCAAUCAAACUGUAACCCAUGCUAGCAUGGAAAACGGAUAUUAAUUGAUGAUGAGGUUGAUUUUUGCCUUUCUUCCUUUUAGGGCUGUUAAAAUUAAGUACCAGUUAAGUAGUGGGGGCCAAUGGUAUUGACUAACCCCCUCUGCUCAAAUUGGUAGCCUUAUCCCAAAAUUUAAAGCCAUUUAUUAGUUUCUAAUAAAAUAUUCUCUCAUUCUAAGAUUUUUGCCUGAUAUGUAAAAUAUUUAAAAUAUUUAAAAUAUUUCUGUGGUAAAAUAGUCUGAAGAAGCAGUUUAUUCAGUGAAGCUUAUAAAUACUGUUAAAUGGUUUCGUCUUUUCAUCAUAUACAUAUAUAUGUAUAUAAACAAAAAAAAAUUUUGUGUGAGUGUAUAUAUCUAUGUGCGCGUAUGUGUGUGUGUAUUUUUUCUCUGAAUGUCUAACAAAUAAUUUUGAUCAUGAACUUGUCCUGUCUUUUUUUUUUUAAGUUCUCUCCCUCCAUUUCUCCUUCUCUGUUUCUCUCUCUCUCUCUCUCUCUCUCUCUUGCACCCUCCCACCCCUACAUACACAUUUAUAUGUGUUUAUGUUUGUAUGAGAGUUUGUUUGCAGAACAAAAAUUUAAAAAAACAAACUUAAUGCCAAGUUAGGAUAGUAGAGUAUAAUAUACAUAUGUAACUAAAUAUGUUGAUUACUAAACCAGAUAAAACACACAUGCACACACACACACACACACACGCACACACACACACACACACACGCGCUGUGUAACUGUAUAUGUUGAUUUUCUUAGUUAUAAUAAAUGUGUGUAUGUGCGUUUAUAUAUAUGUGUGUAUGUGCGUUUAUAUAUGUAUAUGUGCGUAUGUUUAUAUAGUAACUCAAAAAUAUAUUUAACUAUAAUCAUUUCGGUUGAGCGAUCUAGAUGAUCAAAUCACCAAUGUUGAUGUAGAUGUUUUUCUAUGACUAGAUGUGUGUGUGUGUGUCCGUAGGUGUAUGUUGUGUUCCUUAUGUGCAUAUGAUUGUAUUUCUAUGUGUGUGUGUGAGGAAGUAUGAAAAUGAUUGUGUUGCAAAAAAAGCUGUUCCUUCGUGUAAUUUACAUUCACGAGUUAUUUUAUAUUUAUAUUUAUCUGGUUCAUACAUCUUUGGUUUGGUUAAGGAUUUGGUAAACCAUCAUCAGCUGGUAACAAUAUCACCGGAUGUUUCAUCUUCAUGGUGUGUAUCAAGGUGACCCUUUGUCUCCUGGCAAAUGGCCUAGUGGUCUUGAAGCCAGUGCUUAUUUGAUGUAGGACAUAGACUGUGGCAUACUUCAGCCCUGUUAGAAGGGAAUUAUGUCAAUCUGGUUCUGUGGUUAAGAAGUUUGUUCUUUGCUUUCAAACCAUAUGGCUUUGGGUUCAGUCUCACUGUAUGGCGCCUUGGGCAAAUGUCCCCUACUGUUGUCCAGGAUCAACCAAAGACUUGUCAGAGGAUUUUGGAGAUGGAAACUGAAAGAAACUCAUUUUAUGUGUGUGUUUGUGUCUUGCGAUGUUGCCUGAUGCUUUAAAAAAACCCAAAAAACCUGGCACUUGAUUGGUCGUAACAUUGAGGGUUUCAGUUGAUCCAAUUAAUGGAACAGCCUGCCCAUGAAGUUGAUGUGUAAGUGGCUGAGUACUCCACAGACUUGCACACUCUUAAUGUUGUUCUCAGGGAGAUUCAAUGUAGCACAGAAUGUGGCACAACUGGCACUUUGAGUUAUAGGUACUACUCAUUUUUGCCAGCUGAGUUAACUGGAAGAAUGUGGAAUAAGGCAUACCUUGCUCAAGGACACAGCAUACCACUGAGAAUGGAACUCAUGACCUUCUGAUCAUGAGCUGAAUACCCUAACCACUUAGCCAUGCGCCUUCACGAUACUUGUAAACGAGUGUUACUGUCAUAUAAGCUGUGCCCUUCAUAUCUAGUUUCCCAUGAAAAAGUGUCCAGUCACGAAGAAAUACCACCUUGCUUGGAAACUAGUGAGAGUUGGUUACAGAAAGGGUGUUUAGCCAUAGAAAGUCUGCCUUGAAGAAUUCCAUCUGACCCAUGCAAGCAUUGAAAAGUGGAUGUCAAAAUAGUGAUGUUGAUGAUGAUGAGUUAAGUAGAUUGGGUCAUUAGGAGGUCAUGAAAUAAAAGAACAUGUACCCAGGGCAAACAUGAGUCCUGAUGGCUUGUACUGCUCAAAAGCAUCAUGACAUACAACUUUACUACCUUGUUUGUUACUUUGUCUUUCCUGCUACAAAGAAUUACUGGCUUUCUUCGACUCUAUUGAAUUUAUUUUGUUGUGGUGGGGUGUCUGGGACAUUAAAAAUUAACUCCUUAGCAUUCAAAUCACUCUGUCGAAUGUAAUGCAGAUUUAUUCAUUUUGUUCUGAAUUAAUAAUGCAUUUUCUCAUAGCUUUGAAAUUUCAAUGAUGUGAUUGUUUAUUUUCACAGUGACAUUGUAGGAUAAGUGGGAGAGGCUGGAUCUGGCCAAUUUGAACAUAAAGUAAGCAGAAUAUUUGAGCCAGUUAUGACUAGUUUAAAGGCUAAAGUGCUGAAUAUCUUGACCAUGGAUAGAAUGCCUUAGUAACAGGAUAUGAAAUUGGCAAUUUUUUUGAUAGGCUAUCAUCAUGAUAAUCUGUAGCUCUUUUGUAGUUCAUUCUAACAUAUACAUACACAUGUAUUCAUAUAUUGUGGUUUGUCUGUAUAAAUCGAUAUUAGUUCAUUGCUGACAAGACUUAUUUAACAAGAAUUUUGUGAGCUGUUUGGACAGCAUUUGAACAUAUACAUGUCAUGUUAAAUAAGCCUCUUCUCUCUCAUACACUUCAUUUGAGCAUAUAUAUGUGUCAUGUUAGAUAAACGUUUUCACUUUCGUACACUUGUUACCAUCAUUAAUCUUACUGUUGCCGUUCAUUCUUCAGUUUACUCAACUGUAACUGUUCAUUAAAUUAAUUCUGGCUUCCUACCAUAUGAAUCGUUAAGAUGUGGUUUAAAAUUGGAACAUAAUUCAACUGUAUCUAAUUGAAUAAUACAACAGCUACCAAGAUUUCAUUGAUUACCUGAUAUCUUCAUAUUCACUGCAUAUUACAUUGUAUCACCUUAUAUAACACAAGCGUAUCUGUGCCACGAAAAAUAUAUGACAACUGUCUUUAGAUGUAAAUAACUUGAGUUUAAUUUGUGAUUCUUUAGACGAAGUUUUCUUGAUAAAAUACGUAAAUUCCACGUUUCUCUCAUUUUCUUUAAAGUUUCGAGCAGUCAACUAAUGAUGUCUUUUCUCUAGAUUGGUGAAGUUUCUAAAUUAUAGAAAAUGAAUUGGGUCCAAGAAUUUUUGGAUGGUUUUAGUUCAGUCUCACUGCACAACAAUUUGGGCAACUGUCUUUUACUAUAAGCCUUGGAUCGACUAAAGUCUUGCAAGUGGGUUCUGUAGAUGGAAACUGGUAAAAGCUUACUGAUCUGUGUGUGUGUAUGUGUGUGUGCAUGCGUGCCCUCUUUGACUUGAUGUCAUGUGGAUUCUAAAUGAGUGUUACUGUCAUACAAGUGAUGUCAUUUUGUGAAAAAUAUGUCUGGUUGUGGGGAAAUAUUUCCUCCUAAAAAACAGGAAGGGCAUCCAGCUAUAAAAAAAUAUGCUGCAAUGAAUUUUUUUCUGACCCAUGCCGGCAUGGAAAAGUGGAUGUUAUAACGAUGAUGAUGAUGGUUGAGAAUUUACAUUAAUAUCUCUCUUUUAAAAUUAUAUGUCUUGCAGGUUGGCAGAUUUAGCAGAGCAAUUAACAAGUAUUUAGGUAUCUUAUUUUGAAUUCUAAUUUGAACCUCUACCUGAGUUGACUUUGUCUUUCAUCCUUCUAGAGUAGAUAAAACAAAGAACCAACAAAUUACUAGGGUUGAUGUAGUAGACCAUACCUGUCUGUUCAAAUUUGUGGAGACAGUGGAGGAUUGGGGAUGUUUUUUUCUGUUACUAGAAAUAACAGCCAAAUUCCCUUUGCAUCAUACUCCACUGUCAAAAAAGGCUUACUAGUUAUGCUGGAAAUGCUUUUGUAGUGUGCUGAAUCAGGGUUGUCUGGGGCUAAAUAUCAACUUAAAUUUUUCACCUUUGGCCUUCAUUAGGAAUCAAACUUUUUAGAUUUAUAAUUAAAUCUUGUUGAAGUUCAUUAACAAAAAAAAUAUAUCCUUAUUAAUAAUUAACAUCACUUUCCUACUUCUAUAUUACCAUCAUCAUUUAACAUCUGUUUUCCAUGUUGCUAUGGGCUGGCCGGUUUGACAGGAGUCGAUGAGCCAGAGAACUGAGCCAAAUUCCAAUGUCUGUGUUGGCAUGGUUUCUGCGGCUGGAUGCCCUUCUUAACACCAGCCACUUCACAGAGUCCAGUGAUGUGACUUCCUUCCACCGGAUGUUUAACCACAAACAGCAACCAAAAUUUACAGAGACACUAAUUGUUUUCUAUUAACGAGAUAUUAAUAAUCAGUUAACCCUUUCAUUACUGUAUUUAUUUUGAGAUGCUCUGCGUUUCUUUCAAUUAUUUUAGAUAUAACAAAGAAUUAAGUAAAAUAACUUGGUUAUCAUUAAGCUAGUGUUAGGAACAUAAAUUGUGACUAAGGUUUGAUGGAAGAUUUUAAUUCAAAACUUAUGAAAAUAAGACAUUUGUACUACAAAGCCAGAGCCGGUUUCAGCCGGGUUGAUACCAAAAGGGUUAAUCUAGGUUUUGUUUCUUCAUUCAGCAUCUUGUUAACUCGCUUCGACACCAGUCUACCUGUGACAGGCCCUGGUUCUAUGUUUCUAACUUUCUAUUUUAAAGUGAUCGAAACAAAAAAAAAAAAAAAAAGAAAACCCAAAACAAACUUCCCAUUAAAAUUUUAUGUUAAUUUAUAAUCCAAACUUAAUCUUAAUAACGAUAACGAUAUUUUUACUAUAUUCUUCAUUAUAUACUAAAUUUACCCCGUAGCACUCGGAUUACUCUGUCAAAUGCAAUGAUUUUUUAAUUCACAUUGUGUUGAAUUAAUCCUGCAAUUAUCUCCUAUCUUCAAGAGGCUGAUGAUGUGAUUGUUUAUGCUUUGAAUGACAUUUUAGGAUGGGUGCAAGAGGGUGGAUCUGGUUGUUUUGAACAUAAAACAACUUGAAUAUUUGGCCAUGAUAUGACCAGUAUAAAUGCUAAAGAGUGUUAGUUAAAGACAAAGCGGUUGUACUUUGAGAAAAGGAGUGGCUGUGUCAUAAAAUAACAAAAUAGUUAUGAUUCUGUUACUGUUAGGCUUCACCUAAGUUGGUAGUGUUUACCUCACAAAUUUAUCCAUUGCAAUUGCAUUUUAGUGUUGCCUUACACGUGCACACUGCACAGAUGCACAUGUAGCUGAAAGAUAAUGUUCAACCAGUUCGUUUCAUUUGAAAUUACUCUGUGCUCUUGUUGUAUAAUUUUUGUUACUGUUGUUGUUAUGGCACUUGUUGCUAUGACAUGGGUUUAUUUGUAUUUUCUGUGCUCUUUUAAUGGAUUCAGUCAUUGGGCCGUGGCCAUGCUGGGGCACUGGCGUUCUGGUUUUAGUCAAUUAUAUCAACCUUAAUGCUUUGAUAUAUAUAUAUAUAUAUAUAU
rnacentral:lncRNA from 1 species